UUCUUGGCACCACAAGGCAUAAGCUCUAAAACUCGGUCACCUUCAUCUCUUUAUUGUUUUGUUUGACACUCUGAGUUCUCCACUUCAGUGUAACGAUGUUUCAUCCUCCUCAAAUUCUUCGACUCAUCUAUUUGCUCCAGUCUCCACAUCAACUCCUCUUCAAGAUGUCACCUUCUCUCUGCAAUCAAAUUCUCUAAUUCCUGGAUACCUCUCUUUCUAAAAUACAAUCGAUGAAACCUACGGCGGCUAGCUAGGAGUUAGACUCACACUACAAAACUGGUAUUGGUUUACCCGGAGCUAAAGAAAUACUUCUUCAAAGAGAUGCCUCCAUGAAAGAAUCGGCCAAGGGAAGAGAAGAAGACUGGAAGGAACGCAGUAAAGACCGUAGUCCUCACAUAGGAGUAAGAUCUGGCGUGGAGAACUUUGAAUAAACAAGGGUAUAGUCACCAAUGUCAUCCAAAAAAAUUCCAAAUUUUCAGGUAUGAAUGUGGAACCAAAUCCUUAAGUCCGUAUCAGUUAUUUCCAAAUAUUCCAAAUCAAUUCUUUAGUGCAUAUCAUAAAACGUAACAUCUCUCUCUCCUGUAAGCUAACUUUAUUUGUCUUGUUUAUGAAGAACCUUUAAAAUGAUUAGCCAUGAAGAAUUAUUUCUGUUUACGUGAUAUUGACAAAGAAUGGUCUGGUCCGUGUGGAAAAAGUGACCUCGAAAAGAACUAGCAACUAUACACACCGAGGUGAUAAACAAUUUAAUUAGUUGACUUCUAAUUUCUUUCCCAAACAAGUGUCAUGUUUAGAAUGUAAGUUACUGUGUUUCAAUAGUUAGUAUUCCUUAUCCACAUUCCAAGCAGAGUCAUCUCAUGCCAAAUACACAAGCAGUGUAAUUUUGAUCUGAAUUAAAAAAAAUAUACUAUACAAUUUUUUUCAAUGACAGCUGCAGUUUUCCUACUAUGUAAUGUGAGGUUUGCUUGAUUCUUUGAAUGUCGAUUGCUUUCAAUUUCUACACUUUAAUUUAACUGUGUUAUCCAGUUUUGCAAAACAGCUUCUUAUGAUGAUGUGGACAUUCAGAGUCUCCAAAUCAUUUAGGGGUUUGUGUGAUGUUAGAGUUGCAUGAGACCAUGAUAUGAAAUUUUUGGUUUAACUUCGCUUGACAAGUACUAAUAUUAGCAAAUAAGAAAUGCGAGCUUGAGAAAGAAAAGGAUGAAGUAAAUACUACCAGAGAAGUUGCUUUGCUCAAAUCUAGAAUAGAAUGCCGUAGAGUUCAGAAAAGUGUCUCCUUUUGAGUAUUUAGGGCUCUGAAAUCUGGAAGAUGGUUACUAAUACUGGUCUUUGACAUUUCUCGAAGAAUCUUUGGUGAAAACCUAAAAGAUAUGUGGGAAAGGAGCAUAAGCAGUAAAAUGCAGAUUCUAAAGUAGCUUUGCUAAAGAUUGAAAGGAGAAUCACAUAGAGUAAAAAUGAGGAUAUAACAGAGAAUAUUUGGUUGGUCUUCACGAGACAGGGAGCAUAGAAGACCAUUGCAUGGUUUGUUUUCAAAAUUUGCAUUCCAUUUUAUUAAUAAACAAUAAAAAACUUCUUUUCCAGACUAAUAAUGGAGAAUAAUCAUCCGAUUAAAUGCACUUGAAGUGGGAUAUAAGAAAUUUUGGACAGUCUUAUGUUUUACUUUUCCCACAUAGUUUCC